rnacentral:lncRNA from 1 species
GAGAGGCCCUCAGCAGCUAUGUCAAACAAAAAAGAGGGAAUCAGAUCUCCUUGACAUAGUCCUCGCUGAACAAAGAAUUUUUUUGAAGGAGAUCCAUUGAUGAGAACCGAGAGUUUGGAUGAAGAAAGAUGUUCAUAAAUCAUGCUUCUUUAUUUUUUGCCGAACCCCAUAUAACCCAUGAUAUCAUCUAGGUAAUCCCAAG